rnacentral:rRNA from 1 species
UACGUAGGGUGCAAGCGUUAUCCGGAAUUAUUGGGCGUAAAGAGCUCGUAGGCGGUUUGUCGCGUCUGCUGUGAAAACUGGAGGCUCAACCUCCAGCCUGCAGUAGGUACGGGCAGACUAGAGUGCGGUAGGGGAGAUUGGAAUUCCUGGUGUAGCGGUGGAAUGCGCAGAUAUCAGGAGGAACACCGAUGGCGAAGGCAGAUCUCUGGGCCGUAACUGACGCUGAGGAGCGAAAGCAUGGGGAGCGAACAGG